rnacentral:rRNA from 1 species
UACGUAGGGUGCAAGCGUUGUCCGGAAUUAUUGGGCGUAAAGAGCUCGUAGGCGGUUUGUCGCGUCUGCUGUGAAAACCCGAGGCUCAACCUCGGGCCUGCAGUGGGUACGGGCAGACUAGAGUGCGGUAGGGGAGAUUGGAAUUCCUGGUGUAGCGGUGAAAUGCGCAGAUAUCAGGAGGAACACCAAUGGCGAAGGCAGCUCGCUGGGACGGUACUGACGCUGAGACGCGAAAGCGUGGGGAGCAAACAGG